GGAGUUUGGCAUGACUCUUGAUAGAGAAUCAUUCCUUUACAUAUCUUGUCAACAAAAUAAACUACUAAAGGUACCGGUAUAUGUAUGUAAAUACGGUAUGUCAUCUAUCUAAUCAUGUUGGCCAACAUUUAAAAACUAUCUUAGUUUUUUGCCAUAACUUCAGUACAACAUUUGGGAAAACUGUGUUAUACAUUACUGAAACUGUGUCCGUAUAAAGUUUUGGAACAUUCUAAACAUUGUGUGUUUCUCCUGCUGUUGUGCUCCCAGAUGGUCGUGUGGUGAAGAGGCAGAAGCAGGGAGAUGGUCAGAGGCUGCAGGAGGCAACGAUGCAGCUGCUGGAGCAGCAGCAGAGCCUCUGCAGUCUGCUCAGGGAGGUGGGGAGUCCCGAUCCAUCCAACAUUUUCCACACUCAGAAUGGAGAGCAGAAACAAGCAGAGUCUGAAGGCAUCUCAUCUGCCAUAGCAGGUUCCCUACUGGUGUGUGAGCUGAGGCGUCAGGCCUCGCAGCUGGGUGUCCCCAUGCCAGUGCUGUCCGUGAAGAUGAUGCUGGAGAGACUGAUGGAGAUCACUGGAACUGAGGAAGUGAGGCAGGAAGAGGACAAGAGGAGAGAACUGCUCACUUCAUCUCAGCGAGUGAGUAUCUGACAGUAACAUUUGAUUUUAUACACUGUGUACAUUUUAUACACUGAGGUGCACGUACCACUGGUGGCAUGCAAGAGCCGGGCUG
rnacentral:lncRNA from 1 species